rnacentral:rRNA from 1 species
GACGUAGGGUGCAAGCGUUGUCCGGAUUUACUGGGCGUAAAGCGUGCGCAGGCGGCUUCUCAAGUCAGGGGUGAAAGCCCAGAGCUCAACUCUGGAAUUGCCUUUGAGACUGAGUGGCUUGAGUACGAGAGAGGUGAGUGGAAUUCCCAGUGUAGAGGUGAAAUUCGUAGAUAUUGGGAAGAACACCGGUGGCGAAGGCGGCUCACUGGCUCGUAACUGACGCUCAUGCACGACAGUGUGGGGAUCAAACAGG